GCAACGAGAUGGCUCAGCUGGUCAGAGCGCGGUGCUGAUAAUGCCAAGGUUGCAGGUUCGAUCCCAGCAUGGGGAAGCU